AUGGGAGACAGGGAAGAAAGGGCAGUAUGGGCAUCGCCUUGCAAUCCAUCGCUGUGUCUGCCCGCAGGAGCUGAGCGGCAUCUGGAGGCGCAGGUGAUGCGGCUGCAGGCGUCCAGCAACGUGGCUUUGGGCCGCCUCUCUGCCCUGGAGUCAGGAGUCCGGUACCUGAGCCAGGAGCUGCGGGCUGAGAGGCUCUUGUGGAGCAGCCGCUACCUGGAGCUCCUGCGAGAGCAGCAAGGCCUGGCUGUGCAGUUGCAAAGACAGGAGCAAAGGCUGUGGUCGUCAAACUUGGAAGGAUUGAGUGAAGCCCCCCAGGAGAUGCUGCGCCAGAGUUGGGACCCCCAUGAAGAGGAGGAGGAGGAGGAACAGGAACCAAGCCACCCCACUGGUGAGUCAGGGGCAGGGAUCUUCAACAUGUUGGCCCUGGCCCCUGGCCCACCGGUUGCAAGGACAUUUAUCCCCCGAGGCAGCAAAGUCCCUACAAUGGCUUUCUACUCUGCACAGUUACAGAGCGAUGGCUCCACUUCGUGGGAUUUGUAGCAGUGUCAGAAUUAUAGUUGGAAGAGACCGCAUGGGCCAUCUAGUCCAACCCCUUUCUACUACCAUUUUAAUGACAGAAACAUGGAAAUAUGGAAGUGGUUAAAUAUAACCUCGGGAUUGCUGCAAGGCUUAAACGUUUACGUAUUGUGUCUGAUUGUUGUUUCAUAGUUUUAUAAUUUUAAUGGUUUUAAUAUAUUGUCAUUGUUGUUGUUUUGCUCUCUCUCUCUCUCUCUCUCUCUAUAUAUAUAUAUAUAUUGCUAUGUAUAUAUGUAUAUAUAUAUUAUAAUAUAUUGUAUUGUAUAUGCAUAUAAUAUUAAUAAUAUUAUUUUAUAAUACAGUAUAAUACUAAUACAAUAUAAUAAUAUUAAUUAUAUAUUAUAUAUUACAUGUACUAUUAUUAAUAAUAUUACAAUAUAUAGAUAUAGUAGAAUAUGGUAAUUUAUUGCCAGUAUUGUGCUAUGCUAAUAAUAUAAUAUUGUAUGUAAAUUUAAUUUGUAAGCCACUCUGAAUCCCCUUAGGAGGUGAGAAGGGCAGGAUAUAAAUGUAUUAAAUAAAUAAAUAAAUAAAUAAAUAAAUAUGUGAUGUUUUAUACAUGUAAAUUUUGCCACGGAUUAUGCUGAGAACCGCUUUGAGUCCCCUUAGGGGUGAGAAAAGUGGAAUAUAAGUGCAAUAAGCCCCGGUGGCGCUGUGUGUUAAAGCGCUGAGCUAGCAAACUUACGGACCGAAAGGUCGCAGGUUCGAAUCCAGGGAGCGGAGUGAGCGCCCGCUUUUAGCCCCAGUUUCUGCCAACCUAGCAGUUCGAAAACAUGCAAAUGUGAGUGGAUCAAUAGGUACUGCUCCGACGGGAAGGUAACGGCUCUCCAUGCAGUCAUGCCAGUCACGUGACCUUGGAGGUGUCUACGGACAAUGCUGACUCUUCGGCUUAGAAAUGGAUAUGAGUACCAACCCUCAGAGUCGGACAAGGGGGAAAACCUUUACCCUUAAGUGCAAUAAAUAUAUAACUAACUAACUAAAUAAUAGUUGGCCUUCCACCAAACUACAAAUCUUAGAAACUUGUCCACUAGUAUCAAACCAAAAUGGAUUUAUAGUACAGACGGACUUUCAUUUUACUAGAAGAGGGGGGCAGCUCCACUGAAAGUCUGUAAAGAGGGAGCACAACAACACAACAAUAACAGUUGUCAAUUUCCUUGCUUUUUCGCAGUGGGACCUGGACCCAAGUGGGCUGCAAAAGAAUGACUAGCUCCAUGACGUUGCAGAGAACCAUGCCAUUGUUUGGGGAGAACAUUUCGAACGCGUCUCUCCUCUCUCAAAGUCUGGACUAAGACCAGUGGACCAAUCCAAUGAAUAAAGAAAGAGCACUGCACCAAGGUGGACCCAGACUCAAAGCAGGAGGUUCCGCGAUGGUUGUCCGUCCAUGCGCCAGGUGAGGUCCAGGCUGCAACAAACAGGACAGGGCCCAGGGGGAGCCAAAGGCACAUAGAGGAGCAUCAAACUUCACCCGGAAGGCAGAGUGGAACAAAAUUGCAAAUCUGAGUCCUGACAGAUUAGAGCAGGGGUCCCCAAACUAAGGCUCGGGGGCCGGAUGCGGCCCUCCAAGGUCAUUUACCUGGCCCCUGCCCUCAUUUAUAAUAUAAUAUUUUAUAUCAGUUUUAAUAAUAUAAUGUAUUGUAUAUACAUAUGAUAUUGAUAAUAUUAUCAUUUUAUACAGUAUAAUACUAAUAAUAAUACCAUAUAAUAAUAUUAAUUAUAUGUUAUAUAUUACAUAUAAUAUUACAGUAUAGUGGUAUAGUUCAAUAUAGUAAUAUAUAAUGCUAAUAUUGUGCUAUGCUAAUAAUAUAAUAUAUUGUAUGCACAUACAGCUGCUCUGAGUUCUCUUUGGGGUGAGAAGGGUGGGAUAUAAAUGUAGUAAAUGAAUAAAUAAAUAAUUUUGGACUUAGGCUCGCCCAAAGUCUGAAUUGACUUGAAGACACACAACAACAACAAUCCCAAUUAACUUGACUAUCUCAAUGGCCAGAAGGAGGCCCACACUUCCUAUUGAAAUCCUGAUAGGUUUAUGUUGGUUAAAAUUAUUUUCAUUUUUAAAUAUUUUAUUGGUCUUUCAUUGUUAUUGUUGUUGUUUUGGACUACAAAUAAGAUAUGUGCAGUGUGCAUAGGAAUUUGUUCAUUUUUUUUUUCAAAUGAUAAUUCGGCCUCUCAACAGUCUGAAGGAUUGUGGACCGGCCCUCUGCUUUAAAAGUUUGAGAUUAGAGAGCUGAUUGUCCUGGAAACUUGGGACUCAAUGGAGCAAUGGGUUCAACUUCCAGGAAAGGACACCCACCUGAGCUUUAAGAAGAACUUCCUGACUGCAAGAAGAAUGGUUCAGCAGUGGAACUCUCUGCCUUGGAAUGUAGUGGAGGCUUUUAAACAGAGGUUGGAUGGCCAUCUGUCGGGGGUGCUUUGAUUGUGCUUUUCCUGCAUGGCAGAAAGGGAUGGGACUAGUGGCUCAUGCUGUCUCUUCCAACUGUGAUUCCAUGACUGGAGGAAAUGUUCCCACUAUCCCAGAGUAUUCCCAUAGCUAUCCAGGCAACAGGAAAUAAAGGACAACCAAACUACGGCAGGUCUCCAGCCGUGCUUUGGACAAGCCAUUUUGGGU
rnacentral:lncRNA from 1 species